rnacentral:tRNA from 1 species
UCCCUGGCAGUCCAAUGGUUAGGACUCCAUGCUUCCACUGCAAGGGGUCACAGGUUCGAUCCCUGCUCAGGGAA